rnacentral:rRNA from 1 species
GAUGACGCUAGCGGCAGGCUUAUACAUGCAAGUCGAACGAGAUUUAGGACUUCGGUUCUGAUGAAAGUGGCGCACGGGUGCGUAACACGUAUGCAACCUACCUUCAAUUGGGGGAUAGCCUUCCGAAAGGGAGAUUAAUACCGCAUAAGAUAUUAGAAUGGCAUCAUUCAGAUAUUAAAACUUUGGUGAUUGAAGAUGGGCAUGCGUUGCAUAGCUAGUUGGUAAGGUAACGGCUUACCAAGGCAACGAUGCAUAGGGGAUCUGAGAGGAUGGUCCCCCACACUGGUACUGAGAUACGGACCAGACUCCUACGGGAGGCAGCAGUAAGGAAUAUUGGUCAAUGGACGGAAGUCUGAACCAGCCAUGCCGCGUGCAGGAUGACGGCCCUAUGGGUUGUAAACUGCUUUUGUCGGGGAAUAAACCAGAUACGUGUAUUUAGUUGAAGGUACCCGAAGAAUAAGGAUCGGCUAACUCCGUGCCAGCAGCCGCGGUAAUACGGAGGAUCCAAGCGUUAUCCGGAUUUAUUGGGUUUAAAGGGUGCGUAGGCGGUAAAUUAAGUCAGAGGUGAAAGCCUGCAGCUCAACUGUAGAACUGCCUUUGAUACUGGUUUACUUGAGUACAGAUGAAGUGGGCGGAAUGUGACAAGUAGCGGUGAAAUGCAUAGAUAUGUCACAGAACACCGAUUGCGAAGGCAGCUCACUAAAGUGUAACUGACGCUGAGGCACGAAAGCGUGGGGAUCAAACAGGAUUAGAUACCCUGGUAGUCCACGCCCUAAACGAUGAUUACUCGCUGCCGGCGAUAUACAGUCGGCGGCUAAGCGAAAGCGUUAAGUAAUCCACCUGGGGAGUACGGUCGCAAGAUUGAAACUCAAAGGAAUUGACGGGGGCCCGCACAAGCGGAGGAGCAUGUGGUUUAAUUCGAUGAUACGCGAGGAACCUUACCCGGGCUUGAAAGUUACUGAAGAUAGUAGAAAUAUUAUCGUCCGCAAGGACAGGAAACUAGG